rnacentral:rRNA from 1 species
CCUACGGGAGGCAGCAGCUAAGAAUAUUCCGCAAUGGACGAAAGCCUGACGGAGCGACGCCGCGUGGAUGACGAAGGCCGAAAGGUUGUAAAGUCCUUUUGUCGACGAAGAAUAAGAGCGGGAGGGAAUGCCCGUUUGAUGACGUUAGUCGGCGAAUAAGCCCCGGCUAAUUACGUGCCAGCAGCCGCGGUAACACGUAAGGGGCAAGCGUUGUUCGGAAUUAUUGGGCGUAAAGGGCGCGUAGGCGGUCCUGUAAGCCCGGCGUGAAAUCCUGGAGCUCAACUCCAGAACAGCGCCGGGAACUGCGGGACUGGAGUCAUGGAAGGGGAGUUGGAAUUCCAGGUGUAGGGGUGAAAUCUGUAGAUAUCUGGAAGAACACCGGUGGCGAAGGCGAACUCCUGGCCAAUGACUGACGCUGAGGCGCGAAAGCGUGGGGAGCAAACAGGAUUAGAUACCCUGGUAGUCCACGCCAUAAACGAUGUGCACUAGGUGUUGGGCCGAGCGGUUCAGUGCCGAAGCUAACGUGAUAAGUGCACCGCCUGGGGAGUAUGCCCGCAAGGGUGAAACUCAAAGGAAUUGACGG